rnacentral:rRNA from 1 species
CGGGAGGGGAGUGGAAGAGAGCCGGAAACCGUGUGCCUACAAAUAGUCAGAGCCCGUUAACGGGGGAUGGCGUGAUUUUUGUAGAAUGAGCCGGCGAGUUACGAUCCCGUGCGAGGUUAAGCUGAAGAGGCGGAGCCGCAGCGAAAGCGAGUCUGAAUAGGGCGUUUAGUACGUGGUCCUAGACCCGAAGCCAGGUGAUCUAACCAUAUCCAGGGUGAAGUUCAGGUAACACUGAAUAGAGGCCCCAACCUACGCCCGUUGAAGAGUGCGGGGAUGAGGUGGGGGUAGCGCAGACAUCCCAAUCGAACCUGGAGAUAGCACGAUUUCAUCGAAAUAGCUUCAGAGCUAGCCUUAAGUGUAAUAGUCUUGCAUGUAGAGCAAUGAUUGCACUAGGCGCCCUCAUCGGAUUACCGAUUUCAGUCAAACUCCGAACGCCAAUGACUUAU